GCGCACGGUGUGCGUAACUACGUAUGUAACCUACCCUUGUCAAGGGGAUAGCCUCUCGAAAGAGAGAUUAAUGACCGCAUAACAUCAUUUAACAGCAUUGUUAGAAUGAUCAAAUAUUCUAUAGGACAGGGAUGGGCAUGCGGAACAUUAGCUAGUUGGUAAGGUAACGGCUUACCAAGGCUACGAUGUUUAGGGGAUCUUGAGAGGAUGACCCCCAACUGGUACUGAGACACGGACCAGACUCAUACGGGAGGCAGCAGUAAGGAAUAUUGGUCAAUGGGCGGAAGCCUGAACCAGCCAUGCCGCGUGCAGGAAGACGGCCCUACGGGUUGUAAACUGCUUUUGCAGGGGAAUAAACCUCAUUACGUGUAAUGAGCUGAAUGUACUCUGAGAAUAAGGAUCGGCUAACUCCGUGCCAGCAGCCGCGGUAAUACGGAGGAUCCAAGCGUUAUCCGGAUUUAUUGGGUUUAAAGGGUGCGUAAAGUGGCUUUCUAAGGUCAGGGGUGAAAGACGGUUAGCUUAAACUAUCGCAGUGCCUUUGAUACUCGAAGAGCUUGAAUUGAACUGGAGGUAAAGCGGGAAUGUGACAAGGUAAGCCGGUUGGAAAU
rnacentral:rRNA from 1 species